rnacentral:lncRNA from 1 species
CGGUACACCUGAGCACCUAGAGUAGGGAGAGGCUGAUAUUAUGAAGAGCUGGGGCAGAGGAGGCUGGGGACUAGAGUCCCACUCUGCAGCAGAGAUGGUCCACACCAUGUAGUCAGACCUUGAGACUGGUCUCAAACUCCUGAGCUCAAGUGAUCCUCCUGCCUUGGCCUCCCAAAGUGUUUGGAUUACAGUCGUGAGCCCCCUGUGCCUGUGCCCAGCCUCUCCAAGGGGCUUUUACAUGGUGGUCACCCAGAGAAAACCAGCAGGGUAGAGCCUGCAGCACCUUGGAAAUCAAGCAGAACUUGGCCCCAGCUCCCCAUUUAUGGCUUCAGGCAAGAGUUUCUGUAACCUCACUGGCCCUCUACUUUCCUCCUCUGUAAUUUGAGAAGACUAAUAACUAUCUUAAAGUACUGGUAUGAUAUAAAUGAAAAAGCCAUGGCACAUAAUGGAUGAGUCAAUAAAU